AGUGAACGCUGGCGGUAGGCCUAACACAUGCAAGUCGAACGGCAGCACAGUAAGAGCUUGCUCUUACGGGUGGCGAGUGGCGGACGGGUGAGGAAUACAUCGGAAUCUACUUUUUCGUGGGGGAUAACGUAGGGAAACUUACGCUAAUACCGCAUACGACCUACGGGUGAAAGUAGGGGAUCUUCGGACCUUGCGCGAUUGAAUGAGCCGAUGUCGGAUUAGCUAGUUGGCGGGGUAAAGGCCCACCAAGGCGACGAUCCGUAGCUGGUCUGAGAGGAUGAUCAGCCACACUGGAACUGAGACACGGUCCAGACUCCUACGGGAGGCAGCAGUGGGGAAUAUUGGACAAUGGGCGCAAGCCUGAUCCAGCCAUACCGCGUGGGUGAAGAAGGCCUUCGGGUUGUAAAGCCCUUUUGUUGGGAAAGAAAAGCAGCAGGUUAAUACCCCGCUGUUCUGACGGUGCCCAAAGAAUAAGCACCGGCUAACUUCGUG
rnacentral:rRNA from 1 species